rnacentral:RNase_P_RNA from 1 species
CUUUAGCGUCAGGCCUCCGCUCCGCCCGCUUCGGUGGGUCGGGGAGGAAAGUCCGGACACCAUAGGGCAGGAUUCCCGGUGAAAGCCGGGGCACGGCGGGGGAGACGCCGCCGUGACGGCCAGUGCAACAGAAAGCAAACCGCCGGUUGGCCCACGCCAGCCGGUAAGGGUGAAAGGGUGGGGUAAGAGCCCACCGCCCGACCGGUAACGGCCUCGGGGCACGGUAAACCCAUUCCGGUGCAAGACCAAAUAGGGGAUCAGGUGGCCCGCCUUACGAUCCCGGGUGAGUCGCUUAGAUAAAUGGAGGCCAGCGCAGGCAGGGCAACGUGCGCGCGCGACAGAAUCCGGCUUAUGACGCUAAAGAGCC